GAUGAACGCUGGCGGCGUGCCUAAUACAUGCAAGUCGAGCGAACAGACGAGGAGCUUGCUCCUCUGAUGUUAGCGGCGGACGGGUGAGUAACACGUGGAUAACCUACCUAUAAGACUGGGAUAAUUUCGGGAAACCGGAGAUAAUACCGGAUAACAUGUUGAACCGCAUGGUUCAACAGUGAAAGACGGUCUUGCUGUCACUACUAGAUGGAUCCGGGCCGUAUUAGCUAGUUGGUAAGGUAACGGCUUACCAAGGCAACGAUGCGUAGCCGACCUGAGAGAGUGAUAGGCCACACGGGAACUGGGACAGGGUCCAGGCGCCUACGGGAGGCAGCAGUAGGGAAUCGUCCGCAAUGGUCGAGAGCCUGACGGAGCAGCGCCGCGUGAGUGAAGAAGAUCUUCGGAUCGUAAAACUCUGUUAUGAGGGAAGAACAAAUGUGGAAGUAACUAUACACUGCGUGACGGUACCGGAUCAGAAAGCCACGGCUAACUACGUG
rnacentral:rRNA from 1 species